AAGUCUGCCCUUCCUAAUAUUAGGAAUGGCAUAUACAAAAACCUGUAGGAGAAACUUCAGCCUCCCUGGCCACACAUAAGCAGACUUUAAGGUGGCCACCUGCACCAAAAAAAACUUCAGGAUCAGACUUCAAAGAGAAACUGCUGA